rnacentral:rRNA from 1 species
CGGGUGAGUAACACGUAGAUAAUCUGCCUUCAGACGGGGACAACUCAGGGAAACUUGUGCUAAUACCCGAUGAGACCACAAGAAGGGAUUUUUUGUGGCCAAAGGCGGGCAGCAAUGCUCGUGCUGAAAGAUGAGUCUGCGUCCUAUCAGCUAGUUGGUGGGGUAAAUGCCUACCAAGGCUAAGACGGGUAGCCGGCCUGAGAGGGUGAACGGCCACACUGGGACUGAGACACGGCCCAGACUCCUACGGGAGGCAGCAGUGAGGAAUUUUCCGCAAUGGGCGCAAGCCUGACGGAGCGACGCCGCGUGAGGGAUUAGACAGCUUUCGGGUUGUAAACCUCUUUUAUUAAGGAAAAAGAUCUAUAUGCUAAUAUCAUGUAGACUUUUGACUGGUACUUAUUCGUAAGUAAGCCCGGCUAACUACGUGCCAGCCGCCGC